UACGUAGGGUGCGAGCGUUAAUCGGAAUUACUGGGCGUAAAGUGUGCGCAGGCGGCCAUGCAAGUCGAGUGUGAAAGCCCCGGGCUUAACCUGGGAACUGCAUUUGUGACUGCAUCGCUGGAGUGCGGCAGAGGGGGAUGGAAUUCCGGCGUGUAGCAGUGAAAUGCGUAGAUAUGCGGAGGAACACCGAUGGCGAAGGCAAUCCCCUGGGCCUGCACUGACGCUCAUGCACGAAGCGUGGGAGCAAACAGG
rnacentral:rRNA from 1 species